rnacentral:lncRNA from 1 species
GCGUACAUAAUCUGUACAGGAAUAGAAUAAUUCUGAAACUUCUUACUCAUGUCCAUUGCAUAAAGGAAAUGCAAAGGUAAGAUACUUGCCUGAUUUGCUGAUUACAAAUCUCAACUUAGGUUUUAUCUCUUUUUCACAACCUAUCAAUAAUCAGAUCAUUCGUUCGAUUAGAACAAUAUAUCAUAACACAUAGUACUGUCUAUUAUAGUUAUCACAUAGUCUAAUCACGUCAUCACAUAAUCGUAGUGAUCAUACUUUUAGUUCAUAUUCUAUACAUUUUUUAAAUAUCUCAUCCAUGUUCUUACAGUAGCCUUUUCUUUCAUUUAUAAGGUUUGACAUUUGUCGGCGUACCGACAGCUUUAUCGGGUAAUUACUGAGUCUAAGAUUCUUAUUCUGUAUCUCAACAUCAGUCAUUUUAUUUUUAAAUGACUUAAAAUAAUUUUAAAGCUUUUAUGAUAUUUUAU